rnacentral:tRNA from 1 species
GCCCCUGUAGCUCAACGGCGGAGCAAGAUCCUUAUAAGGUCGAGGCUAUUGGUUCGACUCCAAUCAGGGGCA